AAACUUCCAGAGAGGUGUAGCACCAGGAAAGUCCUUGGGUCUCUGGCUGUCAGCACCAACCAGCUGAUUUGCUUCAUCUGCAGCUGAACUGCUGCUGGACUCCAGCCUAGAACACUAGUGCACACCGGGUCUGUUCUUGAAGAUUUGCAGAUUCUGAAAUCAAAAUGCCCUGUGUUGCCAGAAAAGGCUGGCUCCCUUGCCUGCUUCAUAAUCCCUUCUCACCAGGCUUUCCUAAAGAAACUCAAUGAGUCAGGAAGGAAGAAAACAUGUCUGAGGGAGAUCUGGAGGCAUAUGUUUGAGAUACCUGGCCACUGGAGGUCAUCUCGUCUACUAUAUUCACCGCAGAUAAAGAAUGAAAAGAGAAUACACAACCUUGUGAUUGCUAGCAGUGAAAGCUCAGAGUUAUGACAUAACAAGUGGUUGAUCAUACUGUAAAACUCAAAUGUGAAGGGAAGGCUGGAACCUACUGGAAACUGAAGAUCUAACGAAAAGAAGGAACUUUUAGGAACUAGCAGAGACUUCAAAAU
rnacentral:lncRNA from 10 species